rnacentral:rRNA from 1 species
UACGUAGGGGGCUAGCGUUGCUCGGAAUUACUGGGCGUAAAGGGCGCGUAGGCGGAUAGUUUAGUCAGAGGUGAAAGCCCAGGGCUCAACCCUGGAAUUGCCUUUGAUACUGGCUAUCUUGAGUUCGGGAGAGGUGAGUGGAACUCCGAGUGUAGAGGUGAAAUUCGUAGAUAUUCGGAAGAACACCAGUGGCGAAGGCGACUCACUGGCCCGAUACUGACGCUGAGGCGCGAAAGCGUGGGGAGCAAACAGG